UUGAACUCUGCCGUGGCGCUCAUCUCACUUAGUGGCCCCAGGUGUUUGUGCCCGGAGUCUGCUGCUCUGUGCCUUGCACUGGACCUCUGGAGGCCGGGGAAUGACCUCCUCCCAUCAGUCCAGCAGCAGUCCUACCAUCAAGACUGAAGACUUCAGUCCCCUUCACCAGGUGCACAUCAGUUGCUGGGGGAAGUGGAGGCUCAGGAGCUUGGACAAAUGAACAGGAAGGAGAGCAGGAGUGACUCCAUGACAGACUGACCUCCUAGAAUAGGCCUAAGUUUUGGUUUCCUGGACGCGGGUCCUCCCCUUCCCCGGAAUGCCACUGAUAACAACUAAAAGUCCCAUGACUUGGAAACCAACCAAUCAGAAGCCAGUCCCGCGACUUGGAAACCAACCAAUCAGAAGCCAGUCCUGCGACUUG